rnacentral:rRNA from 1 species
AGUGAACGCUGGCGGCGUGCUUAACACAUGCAAGUCGAACGAGAACGGAAUAUUGCUUGCUAUAUUUGUCAGCUAAGUGGCGCACGGGUGAGUAAUGUAUAGAUAACCUGCCCUUAAGAAAGGAAUAACAGUUGGAAACGACUGCUAAUGCCCUAUAUGCCUUUAAUACAUAAGUAUGCAAGGGAAACGCUUUAGUGCUUAAGGAUGGGUCUGUAUGGUAUCAGCUUGUUGGUGAGGUAAUGGCUCACCAAGGCUAUGACGCCUAACUGGUUUGAGAGGAUGAUCAGUCACACUGGAACUGAGGCACGGUCCAGACUCCUACGGGAGGCAGCAGUGGGGAAUAUUGCACAAUGGACGAAAGUCUGAUGCAGCAACGCCGCGUGGAGGAUGACACAUUUCGGUGCGUAAACUCCUUUUAUAGAGGAAGAUAAUGACGGUACUAUAUGAAUAAGCACCGGCUAACUCCGUGCCAGCAGCCGCCGUAA